GACGAACGCUGGCGGCGUGCUUAACACAUGCAAGUCGAACGGAAAGGCCCUGCUUUUGUGGGGUGCUCGAGUGGCGAACGGGUGAGUAACACGUGAGUAACCUGCCCUUGACUUUGGGAUAACUUCAGGAAACUGGGGCUAAUACCGGAUAGGAGCUCCUGCUGCAUGGUGGGGGUUGGAAAGUUUCGGCGGGUGGGGAUGGACUCGCGGCUUAUCAGCUUGUUGGUGGGGUAGUGGCUUACCAAGGCUUUGACGGGUAGCCGGCCUGAGAGGGUGACCGGCCACAUUGGGACUGAGAUACGGCCCAGACUCCUACGGGAGGCAGCGGUGGGGAAUAUUGCACAAUGGGCGGAAGCCUGAUGCAGCAACGCCGCGUGCGGGAUGACGGCCUUCGGGUUGUAAACCGCUUUCGCCUGUGACGAAGCGUGAGUGACGGUAAUGGGUAAAGAAGCACCGGCUAACUACGUG
rnacentral:rRNA from 1 species